GCUGACCUUGAUUGGUGGGCUUUAAUGAAGCAGGUGGAGUCAGUUUCCAUGGUGUGAACACAACAAGACAGGCAGCUAGGACUUCCUGCCAAGCCUGAGCACUGCAGAUUGAAAACAAGACAUUGCUUUUCUUGAUCAUGGAAUUGACCAAACUGUCCGACAUGACAAAGCUCCACCAAGCUGUGGCUGCAGGGGACUACAAUUCAGUGAAAAAGAUUUUGAAGAAAGGUCUCUGUGACCCAAACUACAAGGACGUGGACUGGAAUGACCGAACCCCACUUCACUGGGCUGCGAUCAAGGGACACAUGGAGGUGCUACAGCUCCUUAUAGAACACGGAGCCCGGCCGUGCCUGGUAACUGAUGUGGGCUGGACGCCCGCUCAUUUCGCAGCUGAAUCAGGCCAUCUGAAUGUGCUCAAAGCCCUCCAUGCCUUGCAUGCCGCCGUUGACGCCCCCGACUUCUUUGGAGACACACCAAAGAGGAUAGCACAGAUCUAUGGGCAGAAAGCCUGCGUGGCAUUCCUGGAAAAGGCUGAACCCCAGUGCCGGGAAUAUCGCCAGGCUGCGAGGCUGAUGGGGCUGCAGCUCGAUCAGCGAGAUGAAGACUGGGACGCCAAGAAGAGGGAGCUGGAGCUGUCUCUUCCUUCCUGGAAUAAAAAGACUAAUAAGAAAAAGAGCAAGAAAACUGGAGGCCCCAGCAGGCUCAGCAAUACCAAGGAGAGGGGAGCAUGAGAGGCCCGCCUCCCGGGAACUGGAGCUGUGUUACCUGGUGGGAGACUUUCCACGGUGCCCGACUAGAUGUUGUAAGUUUACAGAGGUGGUUCCUGCUUGCCAUCCUUGUAUGGGUCCUCAGGAAGCAGCAGCUCCAGCUGGACCAAUGCAUUUUCUUCUGGGAGUGUGAAUGGGGAUACCCUGGGCUUGCUGGUUUUGAGAGGGUAACAGGCAGGAAGGCCAAGGGUCUCCAAACAGAGGAAAUAGGCUGCAAGUGUCAGACAUUUUUUUCUCUCUCUUAAGCGACAGGAGGAAGCAAAUUACUAGUGUUAUAUUUUUUCCCCUUCUCUAUACAAAUUUAAAAAGAGGUUUCUUUUAAAAUUCUCUGUUGCCAUGAUGACACCUGGUUCCACCUAAACUUAACUUUUCUCAAAUCUUAUGGAAAUGUUUGUCUUAAGCUAUGUUAACGAACAACGUACUUGCCCUAGAUUCUGUCCUCGGAACAGAGGACAGAGCCCAAGACUCUAAGUUCUGAGCCUAAGACUCAGAACAGACUUGACAAACCAGUAUGAGUUACUCAUGCAAAUGUUCUCUUAAGCUAUAUUAAUGAGACUGUAUUUACUUGGAAAGCUGCCUUUCUUCAAGAUUCAUGUCAAUCAUAUUAUAGCCCGGGACAACUCCCCUGGUGCCAGUGUUACCUCAAAAUGCAUGUUGUGGGUGAGGGGCCUGGUGCCAGUCGCUGAGUUUUGAGACAUUUCCCUUCUCUAAUUAGCAGGCCGUUAGUAGCUAUAUAACAUCCGGUUAAAGACUAGCAGGGGGGCAAUCUUUCUGCCCUCUUCUGAUGUCUAUGUGAAAAGUCUUCUCUAUCUCUUUUAUACUUUA